CAUCUCUAUUGGGUGUUUUCAGAGUCCUGUGGGACCCGUGGAGGGGAAGAGGUCUGUGACAGAAGGUAAGGGCAGUCUCUCCUUAGAGUGAUUGCCGAGAAUGGAACCCAGUCAUCGCCAUGGUGGGCUGAUUCCUACAGUGCUUUUCCUGGCCAACUAGGCAGCCUGGAUGAAGAGACACAGGCCUAUGCCUACUUUGGGGUGCCCACAUGCCACAGCUACCCUCAUCCCGGUCUCCAGACUAUGGAGACACAUUCAAAGAAGUCUUUCUUUGAAAAAAAAAAAGUGUCAUCUUUGGACCUGAGAAGUCAACAUUUAUAACGACAACAUGUAAUAAGCAACUGUUGUUCCUGGGAGGAUCAUAUAAGAACUAGUAAAUGAACAAGGCCUGGAGAACCUCCUGAGGAUGGAAGCUGGCUUCCCCCAUGUUUACCUGCUUGCUCUUCAGCAGAAGGACGCAGAAGCCCAUGUCCCACACUCUCGCUGGGCAGUCACUGAUCUAUGUUAUUAUUCAUCCUUCUCCACUGAAUGCAGCGUGGGGUUGUUUGAAGUUGUGCUUCCUAAAGGAAGAACUCCAGGCUCCAUUCUCCACUGCUGGUAGACAAGAAGCUAAUCAUUUGGCCUCUCAUCUGUAAUUGGAUUCAUUAUCCUGCUUUUGCUGGGUGGUUUCCCGAACUGCACCUAAUGUUUGGCUGUGGGUCUCCACCUGCAUCUGCCUCCAUCAGACACCUCUCUGAUGACAAUUGGGCGAGGCACCAAUCUGGUCACAAGGGACAGCCAGUUCAGGUUACUUAUCAAAUAUGGUAAUUCUUAACACCAGCUGAAUUGAAUAGAAGAACUAGCAAUAUCAUUUCAAAUGGAUAUUCAGAGAUUUAAUUAAAAUUUAUGUAAAAGUU